rnacentral:rRNA from 1 species
UACGAAGGGGGCUAGCGUUGCUCGGAAUCACUGGGCGUAAAGCGCACGUAGGCGGCUUUCUAAGUCAGGGGUGAAAUCCUGGAGCUCAACUCCAGAACUGCCUUUGAUACUGGAGAGCUUGAGUCCGGAAGAGGUAGUAGGAGACUCGGAGUGUAGAGGUGAAAUUCGUAGAUAUUCGGAAGAACACCAGUGGCGAAGGCGGCUCACUGGUCCGGUCUGACGCUGAGGUGCGAAAGCGUGGGGAGCA